UGAAAAGGUCGAGCAAUAAAGCCCCGGACGUGUUUCGCACCCCCUUGGUGCUUUCUCAACAUCAUUGUUGAGAAAGCACCAAGGGGGAGCGAAACACGUCCAGGGCUUUAUUGCUCGACCUUUUC